rnacentral:rRNA from 1 species
UCAGAGUGAACGCUGGCGGUAGGCCUAACACAUGCAAGUCGAACGGCAGCACAGAGGAGCUUGCUCCUUGGGUGGCGAGUGGCGGACGGGUGAGGAAUACAUCGGAAUCUACUCUGUCGUGGGGGAUAACGUAGGGAAACUUACGCUAAUACCGCAUACGACCUACGGGUGAAAGCAGGGGACCUUCGGGCCUUGCGCGAUUGAAUGAGCCGAUGUCGGAUUAGCUAGUUGGCGGGGUAAAGGCCCACCAAGGCGACGAUCCGUAGCUGGUCUGAGAGGAUGAUCAGCCACACUGGAACUGAGACACGGUCCAGACUCCUACGGGAGGCAGCAGUGGGGAAUAUUGGACAAUGGGCGCAAGCCUGAUCCAGCCAUACCGCGUGGGUGAAGAAGGCCUUCGGGUUGUAAAGCCCUUUUGUUGGGAAAGAAAUCCAGCUGGCUAAUACCCGGUUGGGAUGACGGUACCCAAAGAAUAAGCACCGGCUAACUUCGUGCCAGCAGCCGCGGUAAUACGAAGGGUGCAAGCGUUACUCGGAAUUACUGGGCGUAAAGCGUGCGUAGGUGGUCGUUUAAGUCCGUUGUGAAAGCCCUGGGCUCAACCUGGGAACUGCAGUGGAUACUGGGCGACUAGAGUGUGGUAGAGGGUAGCGGAAUUCCUGGUGUAGCAGUGAAAUGCGUAGAGAUCAGGAGGAACAUCCAUGGCGAAGGCAGCUACCUGGACCAACACUGACACUGAGGCACGAAAGCGUGGGGAGCAA